rnacentral:rRNA from 1 species
GAUUUACUUCGGUAAGAGCGGCGGACGGGUGAGUAACGCGUGGGUAACCUACCCUGUACACACGGAUAACAUACCGAAAGGUAUGCUAAUACGGGAUAAUAUAUUUGAGAGGCAUCUCUUGAAUAUCAAAGGUGAGCCAGUACAGGAUGGACCCGCGUCUGAUUAGCUAGUUGGUAAGGUAACGGCUUACCAAGGCGACGAUCAGUAGCCGACCUGAGAGGGUGAUCGGCCACAUUGGAACUGAGACACGGUCCAAACUCCUACGGGAGGCAGCAGUGGGGAAUAUUGCACAAUGGGCGAAAGCCUGAUGCAGCAACGCCGCGUGAGUGAUGAAGGCCUUCGGGUCGUAAAACUCUGUCCUCAAGGAAGAUAAUGACGGUACUUGAGGAGGAAGCCCCGGCUAACUACGUGCCAGCAGCCGCGGUAAUACGUAGGGGGCUAGCGUUAUCCGGAUUUACUGGGCGUAAAGGGUGCGUAGGCGGUCUUUCAAGUCAGGAGUGAAAGGCUACGGCUCAACCGUAGUAAGCUCUUGAAACUGGGAGACUUGAGUGCAGGAGAGGAGAGUGGAAUUCCUAGUGUAGCGGUGAAAUGCGUAG